rnacentral:rRNA from 1 species
GAUGAACGCUGGCGGCGUGCCUAAUACAUGCAAGUCGAGCGAAUGGAUUAAGAGCUUGCUCUUAUGAAGUUAGCGGCGGACGGGUGAGUAACACGUGGGCAACCUGCCCAUAAGACUGGGAUAACUCCGGGAAACCGGGGCUAAUACCGGAUAACAUUUUGAACCGCAUGGUUCGAAAUUGAAAGGCGGCUUCGGCUGUCACCUAUGGAUGGACCCGCGUCGCAUUAGCUAGUGGGUGAGGUAACGGCGCACCAAGGCAACGAUGCGUAGCCGACCUGAGAGGGUGAUCGGCCACACUGGGACUGAGACACGGCCCAGACUCCUACGGGAGGCAGCAGUAGGGAAUCUUCCGCAAUGGACGAAAGUCUGACGGAGCAACGCCGCGUGAGUGAUGAAGGCUUUCGGGUCGUAAAACUCUGUUGUUAGGGAAGAACAAGUGCUAGUUGAAUAAGCUGACACCUUGACGGUACCUAACCAGAAAGCCACGGCUAACUACGUGCCAGCCGCCGCAGUAA